UACGUAGGGGGCAAGCGUUGUCCGGAUUCAUUGGGCGUAAAGAGCUCGUAGGCGGCUUGGCAAGUCGGGUGUGAAACCUCCAGGCUCAACCUGGAGACGCCACCCGAUACUGCCAUGGCUAGAGUCCGGUAGGGGACCACGGAAUUCCUGGUGUAGCGGUGAAAUGCGCAGAUAUCAGGAGGAACACCAGUAGCGAAGGCGGCACUCUGGGCCGGUACUGACGCUGAGGCACGAAAGCUAGGGGAGCAAACAGG
rnacentral:rRNA from 1 species